rnacentral:rRNA from 1 species
UACGAAGGGGGCGAGCGUUGUUCGGAUUUACUGGGCGUAAAGGGCGCGAGGCGGCGUAUCAAGUCAGGCGUGAAAUCCCCAGGCUUAACCUGGGAACUGCAUUCGAGACUGCAUUGCUAGAGUAUGGGAGAGGGAAGUGGAAUUUCCGGUGUAGCGGUGAAAUGCGUAGAUAUCGGAAGGAACAUCAGUGGCGAAAGCGACUUCCUGGACCAAUACUGACGCUCAUGUGCGAAAGCGUGGGGAGCAAACAGG